UACGGGGGGAGCAAGCGUUGUUCGGAUUUACUGGGCGUAAAGGGCGCGUAGGCGGUCGUGACAAGUCACUUGUGAAAUCUCCGGGCUUAACUCGGAACGGUCAAGUGAUACUGUCGGACUAGAGUACAGAAGGGGCAACUGGAAUUCUCGGUGUAGCGGUGAAAUGCGUAGAUAUCGAGAGGAACACCUGCGGCGAAGGCGGGCUGCUGGGCUGACACUGACGCUGAUGCGCGAAAGCUAGGGGAGCGAACGGG
rnacentral:rRNA from 1 species